AGUUCUUCGUCUUCCAAGAAGAGCUGUUCGUGAUUGACUGUGGUACUCCUCAGUUCAUCUGGGUCUGCAUAUGUCCGGUCAUAUACUGAUGUGUCCAUCGGUAAGGACUCUGACCCAAAAAAUGAAAACAAUUGAAAGACACCAUCAAUGGGUGUCACAAAAAAAAGUGGAUGCACGGAACCUUCAAGAUUUGAAGACUGCUUGUGUGGAGGAAUGGGCCAAAAUCACACCAGAGCAAUGCAUGCGACUAGUUGAACCUGUCAUUGCAAACAAAGGCUUUUGUACAAAAUAUUAAAUAAAUACCAGUUGGCGUGUUCAAUA